GAGAAGCAAAAGCAGGGGCGAAGGGCAAUUCAUUAUGAAGCGCUUUUUCCAGAUUGUUCUUGUUGUCCAUUUGGCAACAUUGUAUGGGUAACAUUGGGGUACAUUACAUUAUCGUUGGUUAAUUGCUAACCAUCAAAUGAUGAUCCUCCAAGAGGUCCUUUCCCUUUUGUUACUCGUAAUGAGUAAUUAACUUUUCGGCCACUAAUCGGAUGCCUGCACGCUGCUGAUAGUCAUAUGGAUCUAAGGACAGGAAUGCAUCCACAAAGGUCCCUGGUUUUAAGGAGGACUUGAGUUCUGCAGCAUCAAACUUAUCGAACAUGAGCUUCUGAAUGUUGCCAGAUGCAUCUUUCCGGUAUAUUUCUGUAGCGUAUCGAGCAGCAUUUCCGAAUACUUCAGCACAUAUGCUGCAAAAAGGAUGGCACUGCUGUACCGUACAUCCGCCUUGGCCGUACAGCAGGCAAGCAAGUAAGUAGUUUACAUGAAUUUUACACUUUUCGGAAGAUUGGAGAAAGUUUUGCCACCUUAUAAGAUGAAAAACUGCCUAAUGCCUAUGAGAAUACAAAUGAAUGAUCACAAGAACUGUAGCAACUCCAGUAAAUGAACUCAACGCGAGAUGCAGUUCGUUAACACAAAGCAAAUUUCUCUUGCUACCUGUCUUAUUCCUUGAUGCCCAAAAACAGCUCCGAUAGGUCUGGAUUGUAGCCUUCCCGCAUAGCUUGCAUGGUGAUCUCACCAAGCAUCUUAUAAAUUAAAGAUGCAUGCUUGUGGGCACUGUCACCACCCACAUAAUCAAGAAGAACACCAUUAAUUUGGACCCAACUUCGACCUGGAGGCUUUCUUACACCCAACUUAAUCAUCUUCUGUCUCACAGCAGCAACAUCCUGCCACCUUUUUAGCAGUAGUAUACACAUUAGCCAAAAGUGCAAGAAGCAGCUUGCUCAGGGUCAAUCUCAGCCACCGAUUUCUGAGCGACUUGUGACGCAAGCUCAGCAUUGUUACGAAUUAUUCAACCAAGAAGGAGACCUCACACAGCAUCAUUUGGUUUCAUGGGCAUAUUCUGAACAAGACUGAAAGCUUCAUCCAAUAAACCAGCACGGCUGAAGAGAUCUGCCAUGCACCCAUAGUGCUCAAUCCUUGGUUUGAUUCCCCAAUUUUGAUUCAUGCACUCAAAAAAUUGGCGGUCCUCAUCAACAAAGCCACCGUGGCUACAAGCACUCAGAUCACCUAAGAAGGUUAGCUCAUCCAGUCUUGCUUCCUUCACUCCCAAGCUCCGCAUCCAUUCAAAGAAAACGAAGAAUAGCCCUGCUUCGCAAAUCCCUUAAUCAUGCUUGUCAAAAAAACAGUAUUCCUCCUCUGCAUUUUUUCUAAGCAGUCCGUAGGCUUCUUCAAUCUCACUACAACUAGCAUACAUGUGAAUAAGUGCAUUAUUCAAAGAUACUAAAACUGGCUCUCUUCCAACAGAAAAUUUCUCCUCAACAUAUGAAGGUAUCCACUUUCCUAACUUCAAAUCCCCUAUUUCAGCACAAGCCGAUAAAGCUGACACCAACGCCACUUGGUCCAAUCCCACACGGCCUCUUCUCACCUCGUUAAACAAAGACAACGCUUGCUUGGACUUCCCAUUCUGAGCACACCCCGAAAUCAUGGUCGUCCAGGAAACGACAUUCCUGUGUGGCAUCUCAUCAAAAACCUACCGUGCCCCAUCAAUAUCUCCACACUUAACAUACCCCUUAAGCAACGAAUUCCAACUCACAACACUUCUCUCAGGCAUAUCAUCAAACAGCAAACGUGCACACCCCAAAACCACGCUCCCCUCCACUCAGGCAUAUCAUCAUCAAAUGUGCCUGUACAGAUUAAACUCAAUUUCUGUUUAAUUCAGUUUUAGGAGAAUAUGUGGUGAUGAGGAUGAGUUGGAGACAGAGGACCAAAAAGAAUUACAUGUUACUAUCUACAAGAAAAAGCCGUCUGGAAUUUUGUUAAAACGGCAACCGUCGAAGCUGAGGGAACCGCUUCUUUCCAAACACCCAAAGCCAACAAAACCUUAUAUUAUGCCUCAAGACAAAACAAAAUCCCAUUUUUACCCGACAUUUUUGCCUCAAAUUUACCAUUAGUUGACACUGACACACUGUCCGUUAACAGAAAGUAUUUAUUGUGGGGCGACAAAGGAAAUCAACCAACAUAGCAUAACUCUUGGCUUGGAGCGACUAAUGAGUGGCUUAUGAAAAGUUUGUUUCAGUAGGGCCACGUUUGGUGGUCUAUUUCCACAGUUUUGAGCUUAAACAUUAUCCACGAUUUUGACACUAGUGGAGAAGCAAAAGCAGGGGCCAAGGGCAAUUCAUUAUGAAGCGCUUUUUCCAGAUUGUUCUUGUUGUCCAUUUGGCAACAUUGUAUGGGUAACAUUGGGGUACAUUACAUUAUCCUUGGUUAAUUGUUAACCAUCAAAUGAUGAUCCUCCAAGAGGUCCUUUCCCUUUUGUUACUCGUAAUGAAUAAUUAACUUUUCGGCCACUAAUCGGAUGCCUGCAUGCUGCUGAUAGUCAUAUGGAUCUAAGGACAGGAAUGCAUCCACAAAGGUCCCUGGUUUUAAGGAGGACUUGAGUUCUGCAGCAUCAAACUUAUCGAACAUGAGCUUCUGAAUGUUGCCAGAUGCAUCUUUCCGGUAUAUUUCUGUAGCGUAUCGAGCAGCAUUUCCGAAUACUUCAGCACAUAUGCUGCAAAAAGGAUGGCAAAACAUUAUCCAUCUGUUGUAUUUUCAAUAGUGAAAUAUAUGUAAAAACAAGGAGGCACUUAAUUCAUGUUGAUGCUUCAUU
rnacentral:lncRNA from 1 species